rnacentral:rRNA from 1 species
GAUGAACGCUGACAGAAUGCUUCACAUGAGUGCUUAGUUGGUGUGGCUGACGGGUGAGUAACGCGUACAGAACUUGCCUCACAGCUAGGGACAACAUUUGGAAACGAAUGCUAAUACCUAAUACUGUGAGAGAGCUUUGCGUCCCAUUAGCUAGUUGGAGAGGUAACGGCUCACCAAGGCGAGGAUGGGUAGCCGCCCUGAGAGGGUGAUCGGCCACAAGGGGACUGGGACACGGCCCUUACUCCUACGGGAGGAAGGAGUGGGGAAUAUUGGACAAUGGACCAAAGGCUGAGCCAGCAAUUCUGUGUGAACGAUGAAGUUUUGGGAAUGUAAAGUGCUUUCAGGUGGGAAGCGGUACCAACAGAAGAAGUGACGGCUAAAUACGUGCCAGCAGCCGCGGUAAUUC